GCAAGGAUGACAAAUCGCUCCUCCCUGUCAUGGCAUGUGCUGUGUAGGUGUGGCAGUUUCUGUGUACACUCCUGCACACACACUCACACCCAAAAGCCCGGUGCCACAUUCCUGGCCCUGGGGGAGGAGCGGGUCUGUCAUGGCCACUGGAGGCUCCCACGCAGGUGAAGCUGAAUCUUAUUACAGGCUCCCAAAAAGAGAGCAGGCCUCUUUCACAGGAUGGAUUCAGCAUGCUGUACUAGGUGAGCUGCUUCGUGUGUGCAUUUCAGGACGCAGCCUGAUUCCUUACUUAUUAGUUGCCCUGAAGAAAAGGAAACAGGAGACUAGCUGUCAACUGAGACAUGGUAGGAAUCGGGCUGUGGCGUCAACAAGAGGCUGACCAACCCUGGUCAAGUGCCAUCUGCUACAGCCCCACCGCUGAGGCAGGAGGUCUCUCUCCCCAGCUAACAGAGCUCCACACGGCCCGUACCUGCCCGUCCAUGUCUUUACCCCAGUGAUGUGCUCAUGCCCCCAAUUCUCUUCAAAGAUACCACACUUCCCUGCAUCCUUACCCUUCAAAUACUGCAGCCUGCUUUAAGGCUGAUCUAGGGGAUUCAAGAAUAGUAAUAAAUCCAAACUUGGACCUCUUCAUUUUGAAGAGGGUUAGGAGGACCCGGUGAGGACAUCCACCUCCCUGACCAUGUGAUGCUGGACCCACCUGUGAUAAGGUGAUGGGUCUGUCCAUUGUAUCUACACAGGAUUGCUCUUCGCUCAGCUUGAGCUGGUUUGGGGGAGGUGAUAGUGGGAUCAGAAGAUUUGGGGUAGAAGUUUGUAAAGAUCACCUGUCUAACUUUAAAAGCCAAAGUGACAGUUCUUCCACUUGACCUUGGGUCUCUGCUAUGCCCUGCCAUAGUCUUGUUGGUGCUGGGCACAGACCAUCUGCCAGGUGCAGGUGGUGGCCUCUCUAGCCCUGCCCAGUGGGGUCUGUGUCCUCAGGUGUGUCGCCAGACACUCCUGUGAGUCACCACUUAUUGCUGCCCUGGCAGUCCUGCACUCCGACUUCCAGUGUGGCAGUGCAGACCGAUGUGUCUCACACUGAGACACAUAAGUCAGGACAGGUCGGCACCUCUCACCUCCUCCUGCAGUGGGAAGUGUGAUCUCACAAUGGGAGGUGUGCAAGCAUCCAUGUUGGUUUCAGGGAAGGAAGGGCCAGUGAAGGGCAGGAGAGCAGGACCUAGCUGAUGUUCUGGCUUGGAGCGGAAGGUGAAGGCUGAAAAGACUACAAGAUGUGUGAGCGUGUGAGUGAGCCCCUGCCUCUUUGGGCCCACUGUCUGUGUGGGCAGAGUAGUGUCACACCAUCAGCACGUGAGGCUCGUGGGUGGACAGGAGGAAUUGUGUCCAUCUCCAUGGGAACCCAAGGAGGAAUGAAGAUGCAAUGCUUCUAGAUUCUCUUCCUCGUGUGAGUGACUAUGGAGCACAUCAAUCUAGGCUCAUCUUCAGAUCCCAUCACUUACCAAUCAGGAACCAGACAUGGAGAGCUUUGGAAGCCAAGAACUCACCCAACUCCGCAGAGAGGAAACAGAAGAGAGAUUUGCAUAUGAAAGUCCAAAGUAACAACUAGCCUUCCGCACACCCUCCAGGUGACUCAGCUUCUCCCAAGCCAGGUUUGCUGGAAUUUGAAAAGAAAGGAAUCAGUAGGAAUCAGGUUUAUGCCAUGGUAAGCCUGAACCUAUUGCUUUCAGCUUCUGAAUCCUCAGACCAAAUUCCCCCUGACUGUCAGUCUCAUGCUGCCCAUGACCACAUAGUGUUUUUCUUUAUGCUUCCUCUGACUUCCUUUGGUUGUACUGUGCGGUUCAUGGAACUAUAUAUUGUUUUAUAGUUAUUUUUAAGAUGGAGGGGGAAUAUCUUAUGUAACACAAAAAACUCUGGCUUAAAUUAGAAAGAGAAGCUGAAAAGUUUUAAAAAUUCCUGGAGUGUUAAAAAAAAACAAACAGGGGGGCUGGGGAUUUAGCUCAGUGGUUCCACUGCCUACCCCACAAGCGCAAGGACCUGAGUUCGAUCCCUGGUACCAAAAAUAAAAAACCCAAACAAACAGACAGGGUAGGCAUCUUUCUGGAAUGAGUCAGGUAUUAGUUAUCAGGAGACAAGUGCGUGGCAUGACCCCUCUAAAUCCCCUGGUGCAGGGACACUAAAUUGCAGGAGUCAUCACCGCCUUCGUGGUCAUCCCUGACACUAGGACACAAAUGAGGUAGAAACAGGUGACAUUCCACUCCACCUUGCCAUUCUCUCCUGCUGCUCACUGUUACCUGCUAUUUUGAGCGCUGGAUACUAUAAAAUACGAAGGCAUCCAGACAGAGCUGUGGACCGGGUGAGCCUUAGCAUUUCACUCCAUUGCCCUCAUAACGGAGAUGCCUUGGACACGAUGGUCUCCUUGCCUGCCAGCCCAGAAAUGCAUGUUUCAGUAAGUCCAAAAACGUUAGCUAGGAAGCUCAACACCCUGCGAAAGAUCUCACUAUAACCCACUGAAGGAGAUUCAGGUUUUCCAGUGCAACUUCCCACCUACAGAGGAGCUCUGUUAACGUAUGUAUGAGUGUGUGUGUGAUAUGUGUGUGCAUGUGUGUGUGCGUGUGCGCACGCGCGCUUAAGCACAUACUCUGCAUACAUAUAUUCAGAAAGG
ensembl:lncRNA